AACGAACGCUGGUGGCGUGCCUCAUACAUGCAAGUCGAGCGAGGUUUCGAGUCGAGCGGCGUACGGGUGAGUAUCGCGUGAGUAACCUACCCUAUAGUUGGGAAUAACCCCCCUAACGGGGGACUAAUACCGAAUAUUGAGUGGCACUGCAUAGUGCUUAGUCGAAAGGGCGCAAGCCCGCUAAAGGAUGGACUCGCGUCUGAUUAGCUAGUUGGAGGGUAACGCCCACAAGGCGAUGAUCAGUAGCCGACCUGAGAGGGUGAUCGGCCACAAUGGGACUGAGACACGGCCCAUACUCCUACGGGAGGCAGCAGUGGGGAAUAUUGCACAAUGGGCGAAAGCCUGAUGCAGCAACGCCGCGUGAGCGAAGAAGGCCUUUGGGUCGUAAAGCUCUGUCGGGUAGGAAGAUAAUGACGGUACUACCCGAGGAAGCCCCGGCUAACUACGUGCCAGCAAGCCGCGGUAAUCAUACUCGUA
rnacentral:rRNA from 1 species